rnacentral:rRNA from 1 species
CUCAAAGAUUGCGAGCUGCACGGGCCUGCUCUCCUUUGAUCUCAGAAGCUAAGCAGGGUCAGGCCUGGUUAGUAUUGUAUGGGGGACUACCUGGGAACACUAGGUGCUGUUUGGGU